rnacentral:ncRNA from 1 species
UAUACUAAUAAAAUAGUAAUAUUAAACUUAGUUUUAUAAAAUAAAGCGGAUAAUUGAAAACUUAGAAAUACUAUAUUACUUUUAUCUAUUCUUAAACUUUAAAUAUACAAAAGAUUCUAAAUACUUAAUUAUAUAUGAAUAUUUAAAUAUAUUAAUACUAAUAAGCUAUUUUUAAUGAAUAGAACUAGUAAUAUAAGAUAAGUUUAAAUGUAAGAUUAAAAUACUAAAAUAGACGCUUAUUAAAUACUACAAAAAGUAUUAGUACAUCUUAAUAGUAAGAUAAUAGCUAUAGAAGUUAGAAUCUAUUAAAAACUAUAUAAUAACUUAUUUAUUAAAUAUACUAACUUUAAAAAUAAAUAAUAUUUAAAUAUCCUAUUUAUAUUUUACUCUUAGUAUAGAAAUAAUAUACUAAAGA